rnacentral:rRNA from 1 species
UACGGGGGGGGCAAGCGUUGUUCGGAAUUACUGGGCGUAAAGGGCUCGUAGGUGGCCAACUAAGUCAGACGUGAAAUCCCUCGGCUUAACCGGGGAACUGCGUCCGAUACUGGCAGGCUUGAAUCCGGGAGAGGGAUGUGGAAUUCCAGGUGUAGCGGUGAAAUGCGUAGAUAUCUGGAGGAACACCGGUGGCGAAGGCAGUCCGCUGGGCCGUUGCUGACGCUGAGGCGCGACAGCGUGGGGAGCAAACAGG